rnacentral:rRNA from 1 species
UACAGAGGUGGCAAGCGUUGUUCGGAAUUACUGGGCGUAAAGGGCGCGUAGGCGGCCCGUCAAGUCCCGUGUGAAAGCCCCCGGCUCAACUGGGGAACUGCACAGGAAACUAGCGGGCUUGAGUUCGGGAGAGGGAAGCGGAAUUCCGGGUGUAGCGGUGAAAUGCGUAGAUAUCCGGAGGAACACCGGUGGCGAAGGCGGCUUCCUGGACCGACACUGACGCUGAGGCGCGAAAGCUAGGGGAGCAAACGGG